CCUGGCGGCACUAGCGCGGUGGUCCCACCUGACCCCAUGCCGAACUCAGAAGUGAAACGCCGUAGCGCCGAUGGUAGUGUGGGGUCUCCCCAUGCGAGAGUAGGGAACUG
rnacentral:rRNA from 6 species